AUAAAAAUCCAUACAUUCAUUCAAACAUUAUUAAUCCAAUAUUACAUUCAAACAAAUUUCAUCCAACAUCACAAAUUUCAUCGAACAUUUGAAUCUUCAUUCAAACAUUAUUAAUCCAAUAUUACAUUCAAACAAAUUUAAUCCAACAUCACAAAUUUCAUCCAACAUUUGAACUUAUUAUUCAUCAAACUAGAAUAUGGUGAAGAACGUCCCUCUAACGCAGGAGAUCAACGAGAACAUAUCCAAGGACACCUUCAUGUAUUCCGGUCUCUCCUCCGAUUGCUCCACCAUCCGCGACUCGAUCACUUCUAGUAGCCGCUGCAUUAACAAGAACAGCUUUGUAAGCUUGGUAUUAAAAAAUGCAGCAGAAAAUAAGAAAAAGGAUUGAAGAAAAGAGAACACUCUAUCAAGCAUUCUGUCGAACAUCUAGCGGGCAAACUACACAAGCGAUUUCUCAAAGCUAUAAAGAAGAUGAAUCGCCAAGAAUAUAACACCAAAAGCUACCAGCAGAAGAAAAUCAGGAGAAGAAUGAUUAGGAUGCAGAUUUUCGUCUGAGUUUGAAAGGAAAAUAUGAGCUUUAACACCCUUUUAUAAUAGUAGUCUCCGGCGCCUUAUCGCAGUACCUCGGCACCUCCACCUCUCCGCGCGGCUUCCUCCACUUCAACCACCCCAAGGCCACCAGAUCUGUGCUGCUCUCUUUCCCUACGCCGCUGAUUUGAGUGCGGAUCUGGGUGUGUGCGUUGGGUGUGAGAAGAGAGAAAGUGAUAGAAAGAAAAGGGAGAGGAGGGAGAAGAUGGCGGUUGGCCGCGAUGGAGCUGCCGGGCUCCGGCGAUGGAGCAAAGUGGCUGGGCGGCGGGACCUAGGGCUGAGAGAGAGGGAUGAAAUCUGAGAGAGAGAUAGUGAGAUGGGAGGGGAGGGGGCGCGGCGCAGAUAAGGGGAAUAGUGAGAGAGAGAUAUAUUAUUACC
rnacentral:lncRNA from 1 species